AGAAGUUAGAGAAGACCCGAACAACCGGAGACGCUAGCUUAUUUCGAGGGCUCAUCGUAUCAGUUUCAGUUACAGUGAACGGAGAAAUUAACAACGCCGAAGAUGACCAGUCCCGGGAUCUUCAAGUUCCUGCGCCCCAAAUUGCGUCCUCAGUCCACCGAUAUACAGGCCGCCGCUACUUGGGGUGUCGCCGCCACUACCACCGCCCUUUGGAUCGUCCAGCCAUGGGACUGGUUGAGGAAGACUUUUGUUGAAAAACCGGAAGAAGAGAAGUGAACAAAAAUGUUGAAGAGGUUGGUUGAGCAGGGUUAAGUUGAAUAAUGUAGUUCAUUUCGUGGUUCUUGUUAGUGUAAUCAUGAAAGUUUGAGUUAGAUAUUGGUUCAAUCAAUUUCCCGACUACAUUUCAUUGUUGAUACUUGAUAGUCUGUCGUCAUACAUCUCUCGUGUUCACAUUUCCAGUGUUAACUUUGAUGCUUGAUAUAAUGUACUCUCAACUCUGGACUUGAACCAUAAAGAACAAUGCAUCGGCGAUUUUGUCAAUGCGGACAACAGUUGAACGGGUUUUGUUAAGUAAUUAAACUUUUACGAUUUGUGCUGCCUGC